rnacentral:rRNA from 1 species
AGAGUUUGAUCCUGGCUCAGGAUGAACGCUGGCGGCGUGCCUAACACAUGCAAGUCGAACGAAGCACUGUCGAAUGAGGAUUCGUCUGAAUUUGGCUUUGACUUAGUGGCGGACGGGUGAGUAAUGCGUGAGCAACCUGCCUUUCAGAGGGGGACAACAGUUGGAAACGACUGCUAAUACCGCAUGACAUAUCGAGAUCGCAUGGUUUUGAUAUUAAAGAUUUAUCGCUGAAAGAUGGGCUCACGUCUGAUUAGUUAGUUGGUGAGGUAACGGCUCACCAAGACUGCGAUCAGUAGCCGGACUGAGAGGUUGAACGGCCACAUUGGGACUGAGAUACGGCCCAGACUCCUACGGGAGGCAGCAGUGGGGAAUAUUGGGCAAUGGGCGAAAGCCUGACCCAGCAACGCCGCGUGAAGGAAGAAGGCCUUCGGGUUGUAAACUUCUUUUAAGAGGGACGAAGAAGUGACGGUACCUCUUGAAUAAGCCACGGCUAACUACGUGCCAGCAGCCGCGGUAAUACGUAGGUGGCAAGCGUUAUCCGGAUUUACUGGGUGUAAAGGGCGCGUAGGCGGGGAUGCAAGUCAGAUGUGAAAUCUAUGGGCUUAACCCAUAAACUGCAUUUGAAACUGUAUCUCUUGAGUGUCGGAGAGGUAGACGGAAUUCCUAGUGUAGCGGUGAAAUGCGUAGAUAUUAGGAGGAACACCAGUGGCGAAGGCGGUCUACUGGACGAUAACUGACGCUGAGGCGCGAAAGCGUGGGGAGCAAACAGGAUUAGAUACCCUGGUAGUCCACGC